UACAGAGGGUGCGAGCGUUAAUCGGAAUUACUGGGCGUAAAGCGCACGUAGGCGGCUUGGUAUGUCGGGUGUGAAAUCCCCGGGCUCAACCUGGGAACUGCAUCUGUGACUGCAUAGCUAGAGUACGGUAGAGGGGGAUGGAAUUCCGCGUGUAGCAGUGAAAUGCGUAGAUAUGCGGAGGAACACCGAUGGCGAAGGGCAGCCCCCCUGGGUCAACACUGACGCUCAUGCACGAAAGCGUGGGGAGCAAACAGG
rnacentral:rRNA from 1 species